GGUUAAGCGACUAAGCGUACACGGUGGAUGCCCUGGCAGUCAGAGGCGAUGAAGGACGUGCUAAUCUGCGAUAAGCGUCGGUAAGGUGAUAUGAACCGUUAUAACCGGCGAUUUCCGAAUGGGGAAACCCAGUGUGAUUCGUCACACUAUCAUUAACUGAAUCCAUAGGUUAAUGAGGCGAACCGGGGGAACUGAAACAUCUAAGUACCCCGAGGAAAAGAAAUCAACCGAGAUUCCCCCAGUAGCGGCGAGCGAACGGGGAGGAGCCCAGAGCCUGAAUCAGUGUGUGUGUUAGUGGAAGCGUCUGGAAAGGCGCGCGAUACAGGGUGACAGCCCCGUACACAAAAAUGCACAUGCUGUGAGCUCGAUGAGUAGGGCGGGACACGUGGUAUCCUGUCUGAAUAUGGGGGGACCAUCCUCCAAGGCUAAAUACUCCUGACUGACCGAUAGUGAACCAGUACCGUGAGGGAAAGGCGAAAAGAACCCCGGCGAGGGGAGUGAAAAAGAACCUGAAACCGUGUACGUACAAGCAGUGGGAGCACGCUUAGGCGUGUGACUGCGUACCUUUUGUAUAAUGGGUCAGCGACUUAUAUUCUGUAGCAAGGUUAACCGAAUAGGGGAGCCGAAGGGAAACCGAGUCUUAACUGGGCGUUAAGUUGCAGGGUAUAGACCCGAAACCCGGUGAUCUAGCCAUGGGCAGGUUGAAGGUUGGGUAACACUAACUGGAGGACCGAACCGACUAAUGUUGAAAAAUUAGCGGAUGACUUGUGGCUGGGGGUGAAAGGCCAAUCAAACCGGGAGAUAGCUGGUUCUCCCCGAAAGCUAUUUAGGUAGCGCCUCGUGAAUUCAUCUCCGGGGGUAGAGCACUGUUUCGGCAAGGGGGUCAUCCCGACUUACCAACCCGAUGCAAACUGCGAAUACCGGAGAAUGUUAUCACGGGAGACACACGGCGGGUGCUAACGUCCGUCGUGAAGAGGGAAACAACCCAGACCGCCAGCUAAGGUCCCAAAGUCAUGGUUAAGUGGGAAACGAUGUGGGAAGGCCCAGACAGCCAGGAUGUUGGCUUAGAAGCAGCCAUCAUUUAAAGAAAGCGUAAUAGCUCACUGGUCGAGUCGGCCUGCGCGGAAGAUGUAACGGGGCUAAACCAUGCACCGAAGCUGCGGCAGCGACGCUGAUGCGUUGUUGGGUAGGGGAGCGUUCUGUAAGCCUGCGAAGGUGUGCUGUGAGGCAUGCUGGAGGUAUCAGAAGUGCGAAUGCUGACAUAAGUAACGAUAAAGCGGGUGAAAAGCCCGCUCGCCGGAAGACCAAGGGUUCCUGUCCAACGUUAAUCGGGGCAGGGUGAGUCGACCCCUAAGGCGAGGCCGAAAGGCGUAGUCGAUGGGAAACAGGUUAAUAUUCCUGUACUUGGUGUUACUGCGAAGGGGGGACGGAGAAGGCUAUGUUGGCCGGGCGACGGUUGUCCCGGUUUAAGCGUGUAGGCUGGUUUUCCAGGCAAAUCCGGAAAAUCAAGGCUGAGGCGUGAUGACGAGGCACUACGGUGCUGAAGCAACAAAUGCCCUGCUUCCAGGAAAAGCCUCUAAGCAUCAGGUAACAUCAAAUCGUACCCCAAACCGACACAGGUGGUCAGGUAGAGAAUACCAAGGCGCUUGAGAGAACUCGGGUGAAGGAACUAGGCAAAAUGGUGCCGUAACUUCGGGAGAAGGCACGCUGAUAUGUAGGUGAAGUCCCUCGCGGAUGGAGCUGAAAUCAGUCGAAGAUACCAGCUGGCUGCAACUGUUUAUUAAAAACACAGCACUGUGCAAACACGAAAGUGGACGUAUACGGUGUGACGCCUGCCCGGUGCCGGAAGGUUAAUUGAUGGGGUUAGCGCAAGCGAAGCUCUUGAUCGAAGCCCCGGUAAACGGCGGCCGUAACUAUAACGGUCCUAAGGUAGCGAAAUUCCUUGUCGGGUAAGUUCCGACCUGCACGAAUGGCGUAAUGAUGGCCAGGCUGUCUCCACCCGAGACUCAGUGAAAUUGAACUCGCUGUGAAGAUGCAGUGUACCCGCGGCAAGACGGAAAGACCCCGUGAACCUUUACUAUAGCUUGACACUGAACAUUGAGCCUUGAUGUGUAGGAUAGGUGGGAGGCUUUGAAGUGUGGACGCCAGUCUGCAUGGAGCCGACCUUGAAAUACCACCCUUUAAUGUUUGAUGUUCUAACGUUGACCCGUAAUCCGGGUUGCGGACAGUGUCUGGUGGGUAGUUUGACUGGGGCGGUCUCCUCCUAAAGAGUAACGGAGGAGCACGAAGGUUGGCUAAUCCUGGUCGGACAUCAGGAGGUUAGUGCAAUGGCAUAAGCCAGCUUGACUGCGAGCGUGACGGCGCGAGCAGGUGCGAAAGCAGGUCAUAGUGAUCCGGUGGUUCUGAAUGGAAGGGCCAUCGCUCAACGGAUAAAAGGUACUCCGGGGAUAACAGGCUGAUACCGCCCAAGAGUUCAUAUCGACGGCGGUGUUUGGCACCUCGAUGUCGGCUCAUCACAUCCUGGGGCUGAAGUAGGUCCCAAGGGUAUGGCUGUUCGCCAUUUAAAGUGGUACGCGAGCUGGGUUUAGAACGUCGUGAGACAGUUCGGUCCCUAUCUGCCGUGGGCGCUGGAGAACUGAGGGGGGCUGCUCCUAGUACGAGAGGACCGGAGUGGACGCAUCACUGGUGUUCGGGUUGUCAUGCCAAUGGCACUGCCCGGUAGCUAAAUGCGGAAGAGAUAAGUGCUGAAAGCAUCUAAGCACGAAACUUGCCCCGAGAUGAGUUCUCCCUGACCCUUUAAGGGUCCUGAAGGAACGUUGAAGACGACGACGUUGAUAGGCCGGGUGUGUAAGCGCAGCGAUGCGUUGAGCUAACCGGUACUAAUGAACCGUGAGGCUUAACCUU
rnacentral:rRNA from 1 species